AUAUUAAAGGUCCUGCCUGCCCAGUGAAUAUUGUUUAACGGCCGCGGUAUUCUAACCGUGCAAAGGUAGCGUAAUCACUUGUCUUCUAAAUAAAGACUAGUAUGAAUGGCUAAAUGAGGACAAACCUGUCUCCUACACCCUAUCAGUGAAACUGAUCUCCUUGUUAAAAAGCAAGGAUACCCCCACAAGACGAGAAGACCCUGUGGAGCUUUAAAUAUACUACUAAAAAACAUACAACGUAACUAGUACUAACCUUAAGUUGGGGCGACUUCGGAACAAAACAAAACUUCCGAGCACAGAACUACGACUUCUAACUUAGACUAACAAGCCUAAGCAUAUACUGACCCAGUCAAACUGAUCAACGAACCAAGUUACCCCAGGGAUAACAGCGCUAUCUUCUUUAAGAGUCCAUAUCGACAAGAAGGUUUACGACCUCGAUGUUGGAUCAGGACACCCCAAUGGUGCAGCCGCUAUUAAAGGUUCGUUUGUUCAACGAUUAACAGUCCUACGUGAUCUGAGUUCAGACCGGAGCAAUCCAGGUCGGU
rnacentral:rRNA from 1 species